rnacentral:tRNA from 1 species
GCCCCCGUAGCUCAACUGGAAGAGCGGCUCCGUCCUAAGGAGAAGGUUGGUGGUUCGAUUCCGCCCGGGGGCG